rnacentral:rRNA from 1 species
UAGAGUUUGAUCCUGGCUCAGAAUCAACGCUGGCGGCGUGCCUCAGACAUGCAAGUCGAACGCGAAAGUUCCCUUCGGGGGGCGAGUAGAGUGGCGCACGGGUGAGUAACACGUAGGUAAUCUACCUUUGGAUUGGGAAUAACAACCGGAAACGGUUGCUAAUACCGAAUAAUGCAGCGGCACCUAAUGGUGACAGUUGUUAAAGCGGGGGAUCGCAAGACCUCGCGUCUGAAGAGGAGCCUGCGGCAGAUUAGCUAGUUGGUAAGGUAACGGCUUACCAAGGCGAUGAUCUGUAGCCGGCCUGAGAGGGCGGUCGGCCACACUGACACUGACAUACGGGUCAGACUCCUACGGGAGGCAGCAGUCGGGAAUUUUGGGCAAUGGGCGAAAGCCUGACCCAGCAACGCCGCGUGAAGGAUGAAAUCCUUCGGGAUGUAAACUUCGCAAGAACGGGAAGAAUAAACCGGUGUUAACACCACCGGCGAUGACGGUACUGUUUGUAAGCUCCGGCUAACUCCGUGCCAGCAGCCCCGGUCAA